AUUGAACGCUGGCGGCAUGCUUUACACAUGCAAGUCGAACGGCAGCGCGGGCUUCGGCCUGGCGGCGAGUUGCGAACGGGUGAGUAAGUCAUCGGAACGUGCCCAGUAGUUGGGAAUAGCCCGGCUAAAGCCGGAUUAAUACCGCAUACGACCUUAUGUUGAAAGCGGUGGACCGAAAGUCCUCGCCCGAUUUGAUGUGCCGAUGUCGGAUUAGCUAGUUGGUUGGGUAAAGGCUUACCAAGGCGACGAUCCGUAGCUGGUCUGAGAGGCCGACCAGCCACACUGGGACUGAGACACGGCCCAGACUCCUACGGGAGGCAGCAGUGGGGAAUUUUGGACAAUGGGCGCAAGCCUGAUGCAGCCAUGCCGCGUGAGGGAAGAAGGCCUUCGGGUUGUAAAACGCUUUUGUUAGGGAAGAAAACCUCUGGGAUAAUACCCCGGGGGGAUGACGGUACCGGAAGAAUAAGCACCGGCUAACUACGUG
rnacentral:rRNA from 1 species